rnacentral:rRNA from 1 species
UACAGAGGUGCCCAAGCGUUGUUCGGAUUCAUUGGGCGUAAAGGGUGCGUAGGCGGCGCGGUAAGUCGGUGUGAAAUCUCGGAGCUUAACUCCGAAACUGCAUUCGAUACUGCCGUGCUUGAGGACUGGAGAGGAGACUGGAAUUUACGGUGUAGCAGUGAAAUGCGUAGAGAUCGUAAGGAAGACCAGUGGCGAAGGCGAGUUUCUGGACAGUUACUGACGCUGAGGCACGAAGGCCAGGGAGCAAACGG